CCGACGGUGAGGGAUGAAAGCUGGGGGAGCAAACCGGAUUAGAUACCCGGGUAGUCCCAGCUGUAAACGAUGCGCGUUAGGUGUGUCAGUGACCACGUGUCACUGAUGUGCCGAAGAGAAAUCGUGAAACGUACCGCCUGGGAAGUACGGUCGCAAGGCUGAAACUUAAAGGAAUUGGCGGGGGAGCACCACAACAGGUGGAGCCUGCGGUUUAAUCGGACUCAACGCCGGAAAACUCACCAGAUAA
rnacentral:rRNA from 1 species